rnacentral:tRNA from 1 species
AAUCCGUUGACUUUUAAAAUCGUGAGGGUUCAAGUCCCUCUAUCCCCAAC